ensembl:lncRNA
CAGCUGCUAGACAUGUGCCUGAGGUCAUCUUGGGACCUUCCGGCUGAGACAAGCAGAAAAUCACACAGCCAGUUUACAAAAUUGUAAAGCAAUUCUGGUUGAUUGAAGUCGUCCAGUUUUGUGGGGAGGUUGUGUUAUACAGCAAAGGCUACUUGAAACAGCCCUCAGUAUAGACUGGUUGAAUUGAAUAACCGUAGAGGUGAAAAAUCCCUCGAAAAACACAGCACAUGCUUUUAAGCACAAGCUGCUAUUAUUAUUCAUACAGACUAGUUAUAAUAAGAAUACAAUAAGAGGUAACAAUGUAACAAUCAUGGUUGUCUGAUGACUUCUUAUUUCCUGUCCCCUGGGAGAAGACCACAGUCAGCUGGAACAGGUUUUGACAGGCUCAAAUAAGCAGCAAACUUCUUUGCACACAAACAUUUUAAAUUUCUCCGUCUUUUCCUGUCUGUAAAAGCUCUGCAUCGCCUCACUGGGCCACCUGGGAUGGUGCCACAACUCCUAUUAAUAUUGCCAUACGUGGCAGCAUUGCACUCGAGUCCCACGCUCUCAGCUGCCUGUGUGUGGCACAGAGCCUAUUUUUAGUGUUUUACAUCUGUAAUUAUGUAUGUUUCACUGCCUCUCAAAUGCAUAUUUGCUCUGGGGAGAGGUAGUGCUUAUGUAAUCUCAGCUAUUUUUGAUAGGACAAAAUGUGUUAUACCAACCUGCUAAGUCUCAUUCAACCAGAGCAAACAGUCCAACAGUCUCUUCCUCACUCAAACUCCCAUGUAAGCAGGGGUGAUAUUUGAGACAUUUUGAGUACUGGUGAAACAUUGUCACUGACAAAUCAGAAUAGAACCAACCAUUACAUCACAUCGGUGUUUAUAGCUCUGUUUUUAAGGGCCAAUUCAGACUACAAAUCUAUUCAUGAUUUUUACAAAUUAACAUUCCCUGCAAGGAAACCAAUCAACCGGGAAGGGGAGCUCAGUGUGAUCCUGGUGUUAUCCGGAUGACAUCAGCCUUGCUGACUGCCUGGAUCAGUUUCCCAAGGUGUCAUGUCCUUGGCCAAGAAGUUUUUCCAAUGCAGUUUUCUAGCUUGGAAGGAAGAAGAACUGGCAAAGUCAAGACCAACUUGGUGGGCCUCAGUGAUGGAAAUCUGGGGCCCAGGCCUAGCAGAUGAAGCAGGUAACCUGGGGAGGUCCCCACUGUGGACAUGCUGCAGAGAUCCAGACAGGGAGAUGGGUGAGGGUCAAAGCAGCUGAGCAGCUGACAGUGGGAAGCAAGCAGAUAAGGGCAGGACCCCAGGCCUGCAGAAACCAGGAGAUCAUAAGAUGCCCCAGGAAAGGGGAUUCUGCCUAGGGGAAACACACAGUCUUUUACUCAUUCACUUACUCAUUCAGUGGAUAUUGACGGAAGUGUCUACUGGGAGCCAGAAACUGCCCUAGUUGCCAGGGAAACAGAUAAAAACUUCUAGCUUACUUACAAGAUAUCUGUUUUUCUCUAUGUAUUAAAAUGUUUAAAUAGAAAACUUAGAAAAUACUGAAAAGAAUAAAGAAGAAACCCCAUCUUCUGGAUUGUCAUCUCUUGAAGACCAUCCUUGUUAAGGUCUGGUUCAUCUCCUUAUUUGUACAUGGUAUAUGCUUUUUAACCUCAGAAUUGGAAUUGUAUCAUAUAAACUAUUUUUCACUCAGUAUUACAUUUCCAGAAGCUUCUUACACCUCUAAUAGGUUUUGUGAAUAUGACUUUUAGUGGCUGCAGAGAAUCUCAUUUUGGGGACUUGCUAUAAAUUAUAUAAUGGCCCUCAAUUCUCAUCAAUGUUGCCUCCAAAUAAAAAAUAUUAUAUUUCCCCUAAAAUUGUCAUUUAUGG